GAUCCUGGCUUAGGAUGAACGCUAGCUACAGGCUUAACACAUGCAAGUCGAGGGGCAGCAUUGGGAUAGCUUGCUAUUCAGAUGGCGACCGGCGCACGGGUGAGUAACGCGUAUCCAACCUUCCUGCCAGUAGGGAACAGCCCGGCGAAAGUCGGAUUAAUGCCCUAUGUUCUUCAAUGCGGACAUCUAAGUUGAAGGAAAGAUUCAUCGCUGGCAGAUGGGGAUGCGUCCGAUUAGCUUGCCGGCGGGUAACGGCCCACCGGGGCGACGAUCGGUAGGGGUUCUGAGAGGAAGGUCCCCCACACUGGUACUGAGACACGGACCAGACUCCUACGGGAGGCAGCAGUGAGGAAUAUUGGUCAAUGGGCGUAAGCCUGAACCAGCCAAGUAGCGUGCAGGAAUGACGGCCCUACGGGUUGUAAACUGCUUUUAUGCGGGGAUAAAGUGCGGCACGUGUGCCGCUUUGCAGGUACCGCAUGAAUAAGGACCGGCUAAUUCCGUGCCAGCAGCCGC
rnacentral:rRNA from 1 species